rnacentral:rRNA from 1 species
UACGUAGGUGGCAAGCGUUGUCCGGAUUUAUUGGGCGUAAAGCGCGCGCAGGCGGUCCUUUAAGUCUGAUGUGAAAUCUUGCGGCUCAACCGCAAGCGGUCAUUGGAAACUGGGGGACUUGAGUACAGAAGAGGAAAGCGGAAUUCCACGUGUAGCGGUGAAAUGCGUAGAGAUGUGGAGGAACACCAGUGGCGAAGGCGGCUUUCUGGUCUGUAACUGACGCUGAGGCGCGAAAGCUAGGGGAGCAAACGGG